rnacentral:rRNA from 1 species
GAUGAACGCUGGCGGCAUGCCUAACACAUGCAAGUCGAACGAGACCUUCGGGUCUAGUGGCGCACGGGUGCGUAACGCGUGGGAAUCUGCCCUUCGGUUGGGAAUAACUGAGAGAAAUUUCAGCUAAUACCUUAUAAUGUCUUCGGACCAAAGAUUUAUCGCCGAGGGAUGAGCCCGCGUAGGAUUAGCUAGUAGGUGGGGUAAUGGCCUACCAAGGCGACGACCCUUAGCUGGUCUGAGAGGAUGAUCAGCCACACUGGGACUGAGACACGGCCCAGACUCCUACGGGAGGCAGCAGUGGGGAAUAUUGGACAAUGGGCGAAAGCCUGAUCCAGCAAUGCCGCGUGAGUGAUGAAGGCCUUAGGGUUGUAAAGCUCUUUUACCCGGGAUGAUAAUGACAGUACCGGGGGAAUAAGCUCCGGCUAACUCCGUGCCAGCCGCCGCAGUAA